GCCAGCUCCUGGAGCUCGGGACAAGGCCUGAAGCAGACUGAAGCAGUGAACGCUAAUCCAGAACUGAGACCUGCCACGAACAGGGGAUUGCUUCCAACACUACGGGAGGGCUGCAGCAGCCACGGGGCGAUGCUGAGUGAACCCUCCUAGCAAUCAGAGAACUCACCCUGGCUCGUGCUCCUGGGGACGUAAUGUCCUCUCGGUCAUGUCUCAGACAUCGCAGCCUAUUCUGUGAUUCUCUGAAGAACAGCCACAAUGUGGUAUGCUGUCAUCUACACAAAAUUUACCUCAUUCUGGAAGCAGAAGCAUCAGUGAAAGAGCAGUGAUAGGGACUGAAAGCCAUAUGCUGGAAGCCAGGCUGUUUCCCAGGGUCCUUUUGAAGGCUUUAGUGCUGGUUGGAAAUAGAUCGUAAGGUCUACAACACUUGGCAUCACUACUUUACCCUCGUCUUGUGAUUUUCUUCAUGUCAAGAGAGAACCAUUUGCAAUUUAAAAUGGUGCUAGAUACUGUCAAUAUAAAAAUUCAAAAUAAAAAUGGGCAUGCUACAUGGACGAAAUUGCUCCUAGAAGAUGGACAAAUCAGCACAUGGGACAAAAGGAAUACACCAGCCAAGUAUGUGUAUAUACACACACCCCGAUAGGCACUUAUAUCUUAAGUGUUCUCUGCCUCACCAUCGGUUACUGACUUGCUGUUUUCUUUCCAGAAAGAAAAUCCUUGACAGAAUUUAAGCGAUGAGUAAUGACUCCGUUCUCUUCCCUCCUAGCUGCCAGGCAGGCACAUACGUGGGUCCCGUUGGCCCACAAAAUGUGAACGUUUUAACCUUUUCUUCUUGUCCUGCGCCUGCCCUGUCACUCGGUGCUUUUGCAGCGCUUUCCCCCUUUACCCAGGUCUACUCCUCUCAGGGAGCAGGGCAACUGCAUUUACAAGGAGCAAGAAAACACUUCACUGCUAACAGCAGCAUGCGUCUGGGGAAAAUGUCAGCACUUCAACCAGAGCCUUGCUAUUCCCUCGGCGUUGUCAUUGCUGGCUCCUCUGCCCUUCCUUACAAGUGGGUUUGAGGAGGUGGUUGUUUUGGCUGGAAUUAGAGAGGCACAGGUGGUAUCACCAGCUGUAAAUUGGAGGAGGCACUUCCUGAUUAUGACCACUGCCUACACGUAAAUCACUGCCAAGAGAGGAGCUGGGAAGCACAGAAGCCUUCUCCUUACUUGGAAAGAGGGCCUGGAGUGUAAUCAGAGCUCCCCUCUUCUGCAGCUUUCUCACCUGUGGGCUCCUGGGUUCUUUGCUUGGCUUCCCAAAAUGCUGUGACGUGGAAAAUCCUCAUCCCUGUUUGACAGAAGGAUAGACUGAGGCACUGAGCGUGAUGCUCAUGCACUUAGCAUUUGGGUACUCGAGGCCCUGUAAAGCACGAGGAGCUCAGGAGACACGAGUGGUUCUCUGUCAGGUCAAGCUUUUGCCCUCUGGCUUUCCGUGUUUGUGGCGAGAGGCUUGUCCAAAGCUGCAGCGAGCGCUAACCUGGGGACUCCGGCAAGGAGUUUGGGUGCUGCUUUUGGAGGGCACUGCUGCACGGGUUGGCAGAGUGCUGCUCUCAGGUGCCAGCACCCCCAGCCAGGUGUACUUCUGUGCUUUCGGUGCCAGGGACGGAUGAAGCAUGGCCACUUUGGCUUUAUGGCUGAGCGGUACACAAGGAAAACUGAGGUCUGGGCUCUCCAAAACAGAUAUUAAGGUUGCACCUGCGCUGACAGCACAUCAAAGAGUCAGACUGUGCUGGCGAGGUCUGUGCUCUGAGCAGGGAAGGAUCCGUUCCUGCAGAGAUGCUCCCUGCUCUCAGCUCCACAAAGAGCCCGCUGUGGCAGGAACCCUGAAGCAGCCAUGUCUAGGGAGAGUCCUUCAGGAGCGGCAGCACACGCCUGCCUGGGGACCUGCACACGCUGUGAAUAAACCCAUGUCUCACUCUGUGGAGGUCACGGGGAACCAAAUCACCUCGUGGAACCAACCAGAAUUGUCAGCAGUGACUCCUUGCUCUUCCGUGCAUAGCUGAUACCCAGCUCCCCGAGGGCAGGGGUAGAAAAAGCACGCGCAGAAGGCUGGGUGGCUAUACUUGGGCGUAAGGGCAUGAGUGCUAUGUGUGCACUUGGACGUGCAUCGCAAACUUUGGAGCACCGUGUAGGGCCUGUGUCACCAAGAGAUCUGCCUAGAUGGGCUUCAGGCUUAAAAUUGCUGGCCAGGACUCUGUAGCUUGCAAUUAUUGUAGAAAAAGAAGGUCUGGUGUAGAGGUUGUCUUCUGAGCGACAGCUCUGCUACCUCCAUCCCUGGAUCCCCCCGAUUUAUCUACUGUCUUAAUGUUAGAAGUCCUCGCUUUCACCUAACCCGUCUCGGCGCACUGCGACCUUUUUAAAACCAAAAUGUAAAAGCGUGAAAACAGCUGUAAAGUUACCAGACCUCUUUCCAUCCUCUGUCUGCGCAGGGCAGCCGGCUUCAGGAGACUUCUACCUCCCGGCGUCUGGGAGAAGGAUCAGACCGGGCGCUGAGGUGUCCCCUGGGACGCGAGCGGAAGCAGUACCUGAGUGGGAAAAUGUUUGAAAUUUAACAAUAGAGGGACAGCGCUAAAAAACUACUGUAAAAACACUUCCCUGCCUCUCAGGGGGGAAGUUUGAAUGUGUCUCAGCGGCUGCCUCUGGCUUGGUGCCCAGCGCUGCGAGCUGGGCUGGUGAAGGGAGACAGCAGCGCGGGUUUGUCCUAUUCCUCCUCCCUGACGUG